CAGGCCAUGUUGAAGAGAAUGGAAAGUCAUCUGAAAAAGACAAUUCUGAUACGUACCACGUAUACAGCUCAAUCCCCGACAUACCAGCAACCUCAGCCCAGCCGGAUGGGUUGUACAGUCUUCUGCAGACACACUGACACUACACCACUGGCUUUGUGUAGCAAUGUCUCACAUUUCAUACAAAUACCCUCUUUCUCACAUGAUGUCCUUUAUUAUCACUCAUCAAGUUACUGUAAAUACGUCUCAUAGAAGGUAGUACAUAUUUUACAUGUGGACCCCUGGCUAAUGUUACAUGCCUGUCCAAGGUAUCUGUUACUGUGUUAGUAGUAAUCUACUGUAUUUAUGUCUAUUCUGUCAUCUUUGUGAUACCUCCUUCUAUACCAGUUCGAUACAAUGUAUGAAAUAAAAUGUCUUUGGAGACAAAAGUGA